CCUACGGGAGGCAGCAGUGAGGAAUAUUGGUCAAUGGGGGAAACCCUGAUGCAGCGACGCCGCGUGUGGGAAGACGGUCCUCUGGAUUGUAAACCACUGUCCCCAGGGACGAAGAUGACGGUACCUGGGGAGGAAGCUCCGGCUAACUACGUGCCAGCAGCCGCGGUAAUACGUAGGGAGCGAGCGUUGUCCGGAAUUACUGGGUGUAAAGGGAGCGUAGGCGGGGAUGCAAGUUGGGUGUCAAAACUACCGGCUCAACUGGUAGUCGCACUCAAAACUGCAGCUCUUGAGUGAAGUAGAGGCAGGCGGAAUUCCUAGUGUAGCGGUGAAAGGCGUAGAGAUUAGGAGGAACACCAGUGGCGAAGGCGGCCUGCUGGGCUUUUACUGACGCUGAGGCUCGAAAGUGUGGGGAGCAAACAGGAUUAGAUACCCAGUAGUC
rnacentral:rRNA from 1 species